UACGUAGGGUGCGAGCGUUAAUCGGAAUUACUGGGCGUAAAGCGUGCGCAGGCGGUCUGUUAAGACCGAUGUGAAAUCCCCGGGCUUAACCUGGGAACUGCAUUGGUGACUGGCAGGCUUUGAGUGUGGCAGAGGGAGGUAGAAUUCCACGUGUAGCAGUGAAAUGCGUAGAGAUGUGGAGGAACACCGAUGGCGAAGGCAGCCUCCUGGGCCAGCACUGACGCUCAUGCACGAAAGCGUGGGGAGCAAACAGG
rnacentral:rRNA from 1 species